rnacentral:misc_RNA from 1 species
UCCACGUUGACCGUGGCAGUCUGUCGUGAAAUUACAACACGACACAGGGGUUGCGCUCGUUACCCCACUUAAGGGUACACCUCACGACACGAGCUGACGACAGCCAUGCAGCACCUGUGUUCCGGCCAGCCGAACUGAAGAACGAGGUCUCCCCCGCCCAUACCGGACAUGUCAAGGGCUGGUAAGGUUCUUCGCGUUGCGUCGAAUUAAACCACAUGCUCCACCGCUUGUGCGGGCCCCCGUCAAUUCCUUUGAGUUUUAACCUUGCGACCGUACUCCCCAGGCGGAUUGCUUAUCGCGUUAGCUGCGGCACGAUCGGAUUGGGUACCGAUCACACCAAGCAAUCAUCGUUUAGGGCUAGGACUAC